rnacentral:pre_miRNA from 1 species
CUCAGCCCUCACCAAGGCUGGGCGAGGCCGAGCCUCGCCGGAUCCGGUGAGCUCGGCCCUCGCCAAGGCUGGGUGACGCUGUCG